UGCCACCGCUAAGUCAGGACUUCUUCCAGCGACUACUUGUCGCGCUUUCGCACAAUGGAGGCUUGUCUGUUACAGCUUUGGCAGAUCGACACUGGUCCGCGCCGAACCUCUUUCUGAGGCUAGGCUGAUUUGGCUUUCGUUUUGAAAGCUGGUUGUUAAGGACCAGGUAGUGCUUUGUUUUUGAGUUGAGAUCUGCUUCUGCCUUUCUUUGGCGGUUUACCGUAGCAGAUCUCUUAGUAACAUCUCACACAUUC
rnacentral:snoRNA from 1 species